rnacentral:snoRNA from 12 species
AUGAUCUGAGGAAAGGCUCCUGUGUUGCUGAACCUGGCCUGUAGUGGGCGCAGCCUUGUACCAGGCAGCCAGAGCCUGACCUAAGUCAAUUCCCAGGAUAGUUCUUGGAGUUUGAAUUUGCAAUAACAGGUGUAAACAUUGUAGCAGCAGUUUGAUGAUCAUAUGUGUUAUUGCAAAUAGGA